CUGCGGAGGGAUCAUUGCUGGAACGCGCCCCUGGCGCACCCAGAAACCCUUUGUGAACUUAUACCUUACUGUUGCCUCGGCGCAUGCUGGCCCCCUGGGGGUCCCUCACUCCGGUGAGGAGCAGGCACGCCGGCGGCCAAGUUAACUCUUGUUUUUACACUGAAACUCUGAGAAAAAACACAAAUGAAUCAAAACUUUCAACAACGGAUCUCUUGGUUCUGGCAUCGAUGAAGAACGCAGCGAAAUGCGAUAAGUAAUGUGAAUUGCAGAAUUCAGUGAAUCAUCGAAUCUUUGAACGCACAUUGCGCCCUCUGGUAUUCCGGAGGGCAUGCCUGUUCGAGCGUCAUUUCAACCCUCAAGCAUUGCUUGGUGUUGGGGCACUGCCUGUAAAAGGGCAGGCCCUGAAAUCUAGUGGCGAGCUCGCCAGGACCCCGAGCGCAGUAGUUAAACCCUCGCUUUGGAAGGCCCUGGCGGUGCCCUGCCGUUAAACCCCCAACUUUUGAAAAUUUGACCUCGGAUCAGGUAGGAAUACCCGCUGAACUUAAGCAUAUCAUAGGCCGGGAGGAAA
rnacentral:rRNA from 1 species